UUCAAUGCACCUUUUAUCUCUUCAAAGGCGGUGCAUCUUAAGCUAUAAAAAGUUGAGCUUUCAUCCCUAAACAUCAUCCUCAUUCUUUACAAAUCCUAAUAACCCUUGAAAGUUAUCUGAUUUUUAACUUAAUAUUGAUGUUUGUUGUUUGUGUAGAAAUUUGUGCUUGAACCAGCAAUGCAAACCCGUGCUAUGAUCGAUCCGUCGUGCUAGGACAAGAACUAGAAAGACUCUUGCUUUCCCGUAAUUUGACAUAAUCAAUAAAUUCAACUCUAACACAGGUUUGUUAAUCCUAUUAUUGUACUUUUGUUUUUGAGGAUUCAAAGAUUUACACUUUCUAUGGUUCUUAUUUAGAUUGGAUGUGUAAAAGGUGUGGGAAGAACCUCUUUGUUUGGUUUUGCGAAGAAAUUCAGAGAAGCUCCAUCUCUCGGUGAAGAACUAAACAGAACAUUGAGCAAUCGUCUGAUUACAUCAACGACAGGUUGAUAGACCUUGGAGAGUGUAUAAAAGGAUGAGAAAGUGCGGGAACGUUGAAGAGAAGAGAGGAGAAACAGAGGAUUGAAAGACUCUAAAUGAAUAAGAGUGUUUGCAGUUAUAAUUGUUGCAACUAUAAAUACUUUAUGCCUUUGUUAUUUUUGGAGUUUAUCGAGUUGUAAACAUUGAGAGUGAGAGAGACGAUUGUAAGACGUUGUGAUUAGCUCGUGAGAGGAUCACUACUUACAAUUGUUGAGUAUUGAUAAGAAAUCUACUUUGG
rnacentral:lncRNA from 1 species